CUCUGCAAGCCAGGCCAGUGCUGAGCUGGGGAGCAGUCAGCGGAGGAGUCUGGCGGGUGAAGGAGGAAUCAGUGCCUCAGAGAGGAGCCAGGAAAGGCGGAAUCUGCAUAAUGAACUCUGGAAGAAAAGUGAGGGAACUCAAAAAAAGUGAGAAACCAGAAAAUCAAGAACACAGCAAAUUUCUAAGAAAUCAUCCGCUUGCAGCAAGCCGGUACAUUCAAGUUAGGGCUGUGGCAUAUGACACCCAGUGAGUUCGAGUAAGGACUACUCAUCUAUUUACCAAGAAUGGCUGAGAAAAGAAAAUGUUCCUGCCUGGCGGACAAUAGCACAAAGUAUUUCUCUGUACCUGGGCACAUCUGCUUCACUCGAUAAAAGAGAACCCCGACCCAGGUGCAGAGGCAGCUGGAGAAGAGGACAACUAUGAACUGAUACAAAGGCAAAAGGUUCCUGGUAGCCUUGGAAGAACACAGAUUGGUGCAUAAUGCAUGGUAUGUGCAAUAAA